AAUUCCGGGCUUGCUCGGAAUGGAAAGUGGCGCACGGGUGAGUAACACGUAGGCAACCUGCCCCUGAGAGUGGAAUAACCAUGGGAAACUAUGGCUAAUACCGCAUAUUGUCUUAAAAAUGCAUGUUUUUAAGAUGAAAACUCUGGUGCUCAGGGAUGGGCCUGCGGCAGAUUAGCUUGUUGGUAGGGUAACGGCCUACCAAGGCUACGAUCUGUAGCUGGUCUGAGAGGAUGAUCAGCCACACUGGCACUGAGACACGGGCCAGACUCCUACGGGAGGCAGCAGUGAGGAAUAUUGCGCAAUGGGCGAAAGCCUGACGCAGCCACGCCGCGUGGAGGAAGACACCCCUAUGGGGCGUAAACUCCUUUUAUGUGAGAAGAAGGUCCCGGACGCCGGGAUUUGACGGUACCACAUGAAUAAGCACCGGCUAACUCCGUGCCAGCAGCCGCGGUAAUACGGAGGGUGCAAGCGUUGUCCGGAUUCACUGGGUGUAAAGGGUGUGUAGGCGGAACAUGCAAGUCAGAGGUGAAAGCCUACAGCUUAACUGUAGAACUGCCUUUGAUACUGCUGUUCUUGAGUACUGGAGAGGCUACUAGAAUUCGUGGUGUAGCGGUGAAAUGCGUAGAUAUCACGAGGAAU
rnacentral:rRNA from 1 species